CCUACGGGAGGCAGCAGUCGAGAAUCAUUCACAAUGGGGGAAACCCUGAUGGUGCGACGCCGCGUGGGGGAAUGAAGGUCUUCGGAUUGUAAACCCCUGUCAUGUGGGAGCAAAUUAAAAAGAUAGUACCCCAAGAGGAAGAGACGGCUAACUCUGUCCCAGCAGCCGCGUUAAUACAGAGGUCCCAAGCGUUGUUCGGAAUCACUGCGCAUAAAGCGUGCUGAGGCUGUUUCGUAAGUCGUGUGUGAAAGGCGCGGGCUCAACCCGCGGACGGCACAUGAUACUGCGAGACUAGAGUAAGGGAGGGGGAACCGGAAUUCUCGGUGUAGCAGUGAAAUGCGUAGAUAUCGAGAGGAACACUCGUGGCGAAGGCGGGUUCCUGGACAUUAACUGACGCUGAGGCACGAAGGCCAGGGGAGCGAAAGGGAUUAGAUACCCGAGUAGUC
rnacentral:rRNA from 1 species